GCUAGUGUAGUGUAGUGGUUUGAGCAUUCGACUACAACUCUGGAGAUCAGGGUUCGAUUCCCUGCUCCACCA